rnacentral:rRNA from 1 species
AUUGAACGCUAGCGGGAUGCCUUACACAUGCAAGUCGAACGGAGUGGCGAACGGGUGCGUAAUGUUUCGGAAUGUGCCCAGUAGCGGGGGAUAACUACGCGUAAGCGAAACUAAUGCCACAUCCUAUUGGAGCGGGCGCUAUCGGAUUAGCUAGAUGGUGGGGUAACGGCUCACCAAGGCGACGAUCCGUAGCUGGUUUGAGAGGACGACCAGCCACACUGGGACUGAGACACGGCCCAGACUCCUACGUGAGGCAGCAGUGGGGAAUUUUGGACAAUGGGGGAAACCCUGAUCCAGCCAUCCCGCGUGUGUGAUGAAGGCCUUCGGGUUGUAAAGCACUUUUGGCAGAGAAGCGGUACCUGCAGAAUAAGCACCGGCUAACUACGUGCCAGCAGCCGCGGUAAUUC